AGCUGCGGAUUGCUUUAUUUUUUUGCGAAAUAUAGGUCCUAUUUCGCAAAAAAAAUCGCAAAGAUGCCAAGAUGUUUUGCGAAGUGAAGUAGUUGGAAAUCUCAUUUUUCCCAGAUUUGGUGUAAAUAUGUAGUGAGUGAGGAUGUGACGGAGAAAUGACGUCCAAAAGUGGGUACCCUCACCCUCUUUUCCAAGAAAUGAAAUGCCAUGCGAGAAUUCAGUCAAGUUGGAGUAACCACAACAACAAACAAGAUCGAGGAGAUCUUUCUUGGCACCUGUUCCAGUAUCUACAACCAGUGGCCGCGGAAGCUGUGGGGACAUGUGGGGACAUUAACAUAUUAGGGUAGAGGAGAGACGGAUUCUAUAUAAGAUGGGGAGAUGAUGCGGACAUCGAACAACCGUGGGGACAUUGUCGCCACCCUUCCGCGGCCACUGAGAGUCGAAACCAAGUAAGAACAUAUUUACAUAAGCAACUUUGAGAUAAUGCAUCGUCAACAAUACUGCGUCCACGUCCAGUCCAGUCCAGCGACGGGGUCAACUUCUUCUUCAACCAGGGCUCAUUUAUCCAUCUUUAAAAUGUCAAGAUUGACUAUAACUAUAAUUAAUAAAUGAAUAACUAUAAUUAAUAAUUAUAAUUAAAGUUAAUGAAUAACUAUAAUUGAUUAGAUGGCAUGAUAAGGAUACCGAUAAUUGAUACGAUGUUAGGCGGCAUGAUAAGCAUCCAUAGUUGAUACGUCAUUGAUACGUCAGUAUGUAUCUACAUAUACAUGUCUAUGCGUCAUUCCCACGCUGAGUGACCCAUUUUUUAUCUUAAAGUCAAAAAGUGAUUUCGUAAUUUCGCUUUCACUGGGAAUUUAACGCCGACAUGAAAAAGACGGCAAUGAAUGUUAAGUAAGUACAUACACAGUUAAUUACUUAGUUAUUUAGUUAAAUAAGCUUGAAUAUUAAUCUCUAUAUUUUCACAGGCUCAAAAUACCUUAACCCAGCACACAAAUAGCCCUCACUUGAAAUAAUAAUCAAUUAAAAGCAUAAUUUAAUUAAUGUAUGUUCAAAAUAAGUCAAUUUUUAUCAUGAGGUUAACGGCUGACAUUGAAGAGUCUGUCGCCUUGUUUAACCCCUUUAAUCUUAGUAGCGUCCAAUUGUUUGAACAAGAAUUCAAGAUCUGUACUUAUUCUUGCAUCCGUCCGACACAACUCGGAAUACGUUGACGGGUGCCCGUUCGAAGCAGAACGGUGUCCCCUUAAAUCUCGAACGCCCCAACAGCUUGCCUCGGACGGCAUCAUAAACCAUACCUCGCAAUGAACGUAACGUUGACGUAACCAAAACGGUCCAUGGACCACAAAAAAAUUGGCCCAUCGAUGAACCAUGGACCAUGGUUCAUGGUCCAAUUUACUGCGAGCAUGCCAUGAACUCGACAAUCGCUGAACAAGAAAAGAAACACGUAAUUAAUGUAGGACUCGAUGACGCAUCAGCAAUUUUAAAUCUUUUCACGACUCUGGCAAUUUAUUUUUGCCUAGAAGCCUCAUUUCACCUGGAAAUUCAUUCCUUAAUUAAUGCUGUAUAAAAAUAGAUGAGAAAGAAUAAUCAACUCAGAAAUUUGCAUUCUUAUUAAACGUCUCACUUUCAAAGUAGAAUUUAUUACCGAAUACAUUACCGGACGCAGAAAAUAAUAUCACUUGACUCCACUAAUCACAAUACUCUAAUACAACUUAACAUAAUCCAUUUUCAGACUAGAAUAUCGAAUCGUUAAAUAUUUAUAAUUAUAAACUUUGGUUCAGUUCGUGACGAUAAAUUCAGAGGUUGUUCGUAGCAUGAAUUUCAUACAGAUUUAUGUUUACCAUUGUAUCGUAUUGUGAAUUAUGGCGACAUAUUUUGUAAUAAACGAACAUUAU